AGUGAACGCUGGCGGUAGGCCUAACACAUGCAAGUCGAACGGCAGCACAGUAAGAGCUUGCUCUUACGGGUGUCGAGUGGCGGACGGGUGAGGAAUACAUCGGAAUCUACUUUUUCGUGGGGGCUAACGUAGGGAAACUUACGCUAAUACCGCAUACGACCUACGGGUGAAAGCAGGGGAUCUUCGGACCUUGCGCGAUUGAAUGAGCCGAUGUCGGAUUAGCUAGUUGGCGGGGUAAAGGCCCACCAAGGCGACGAUCCGUAGCUGGUCUGACAGGAUGAUCACAUAGACUGGAAGUGAGACACGGUCCAGACUCUUACGGGAGGAAGCAGUGGGGAAUAUUGGACAAUGGGGGAAAGCCGGAUCCAGGCAUACCGCGUGGGGGAAGAAGGACUUCGGGUUGUAAAGCCCUUUUGUUGGGAAAGAAAAGCAGCAGGUUAAUACCCCGCUGUUCUGACGGUACCCAAAGAAUAAGCACCGGCUAACUUCGUG
rnacentral:rRNA from 1 species